rnacentral:rRNA from 1 species
GACGAACGCUGGCGGCGUGCUUAACACAUGCAAGUCGAACGGAAAGGCCUCUUUCGGGGGGUACUCGAGUGGUGAACGGGUGAGUAACACGUGAGUAACCUGCCCUUGACUUUGGGAUAACUUCAGGAAACUGGGGCUAAUACCGGAUAGGAGCUCCUGCUGCAUGGUGGGGGUUGGAAAGUUUCGGCGGUUGGGGAUGGACUCGCGGCUUAUCAGCUUGUUGGUGGGGUAGUGGCUUACCAAGGCUUUGACGGGUAGCCGGCCUGAGAGGGUGACCGGCCACAUUGGGACUGCGAUACGGCCCAGACUCCUACGGGAGGCAGUAGUGGGGAAUAUUGCACAAUGGGUGGAAGCCUGAUGCAGCAACGCCGUGUGCGGGAUGACGGCCUUCGGGUUGUAAACCGCUUUCGCUCAUGACGAAGCUUUGUGUGACGGUAGUGGGUAAAGAAGCACCGGCUAACUACGUG